UAUAUUGACUCGACGGCCCUUCUCCUCCGAUACCACUACUCUGGUGAUCUACACAUACAUAAACUCUCCAUCGCCGGAAACAAUGGCGAAGCUCGCACUUCUCUUCUUCCUUUCCUUUCUCAUCUUCUCUUCAUCCAUCGCUUUCCAAUCAGACGAGCUCCUCGUUGACGACGAUGAAUUUGGUCUUGAAGGAGGAAAGCCCCGCUCCACCGAUCCUUACACCUCUUCUCCCUCAUCUUCUUCUUCUUCUUCUUCGCCACAGCAGCAGCAGCAACAGACUCCUACUAUUCGGAGAAGGUACUCAGAUCCUACCGAUUUGGAUUCGAAAGUCCAAUUUACUCUCGAACAUGCCUUUGGAGACUCUGAUUUCUCCCCCGCUGGUACUUUCUCCGCUCGUCUCAAAACUUGGAGCCAUGGCGGAAAGACAUUAACGAAGCUGCGUUUUUCAAGGAAUGAUUUUUCUGAUGAAGAGAAAGAUGCAUUCAAGAAACUGUUGAAAGGAGAUGACUUUUAUCGGAUUCGGCUUCCAUCUAAUGUGGUCAGUCCACCGGGGAGAGAGUAUGUGAUUGCAUCAGUGAGAGCUAGAUGUCUACCACGGGAUGGCUUGGAUGAGCAUUUCAUUAUACACAUGGAAGGUGCCAACAUCUUAGCUGUUAGUUAUGGUUCUCCAGGGGCGUGUCAAUAUCCUAGACAGUUCAAACUUCCAGCAAAAUGGUCGUUUAACUCGCACACAAUUCUGAAAAGCAGUGAGCAGGCACCAAGAACUCCAAUAUUCACUGAGGAGAUUCUAGGAAGUGAGAAUCCAGAGGGAGAAGUUGAACCACCACCAGAGAGAUCAUUUUGGGCGAAAUAUUGGAUGUAUUUGAUACCACUGGGACUCGUAGUGAUGAACGCCGUGACACAAGCAUCAAACAUGGCUGAAGAACCAACUGGUGGACAAGCAGGAGGCGCACAAGUGCAACAACCUGCCAGGAGAAGAUGAUUCCACUUUUACUUCUCCCAUAGCAAUCAAAGCUGUGGAUUUAUACUAUUUGGUUAUAACUUAUUAAGUAAGGCGACAUUAACUGAAUCGGCUGCAGCUGAUAAAGGGAACGAUGAUUCAACAGAUCUUCAUGUAAACCAUCUUUUCAUCAUUUGGUUUUAUGUAACCUUUAGUGUUAAUUUUAAUCUUUAAUAUUCAUUUGGUAUGUAAACCUUUGGUUGUUUUUGUAUGCAACAAAUGAGAAAUCAAAAAUCUUCGAACUUGAUAACAAAGACCCUUUAGUUUUAA